CGGCGGACGGGUGAGUAACGCGUGGGUAACCUGCCUCAUACAGGGGGAUAACAGUUGGAAACGGCUGCUAAUACCGCAUAAGCGCACAGUACCGCAUGGUACCGUGUGAAAAACUCCGGUGGUAUGAAAUGGACCCGCGUCUGAUUAGCUAGUUGGUGGGGUAACGGCCUACCAAGGCGACGAUCAGUAGCCGACCUGAGAGGGUGACCGGCCACAUUGGGACUGAGACACGGCCCAA
rnacentral:rRNA from 1 species